rnacentral:rRNA from 1 species
UACGUAGGGGGCAAGCGUUGUCCGGAAUCAUUGGGCGUAAAGAGCGCGUAGGCGGCCCGGUAAGUCCGCUGUAAAAGUCCAGGGCUCAACCCUGGAAAGCCGAUGGAUACUGUCGGGCUAGAGUCCGGAAGAGGCGAGUGGAAUUCCUGGUGUAGCGGUGGAAUGCGCAGAUAUCAGGAGGAACACCGAUGGCGAAGGCAGCUCGCUGGGACGGUACUGACGCUGAGGCGCGAAAGCGUGGGGAGCGAACAGG